AAUGAUUCCUUCAGCCUGAACAAAAACCUCCAGAUGAUCAGAUGUCAGUUUGUGACAUAGAGAGCAGUAAACCACAGCCCAGGUUCACUGAUUUCACCUCCAUCUCACACAGAGACUCUCUGAGUUUUAGUCUUUAAUGUUUCAUCAUUUUGUUAGAAUCCACUGUGAAGGUUUCUGGUGUCUUUAGUGUUUAUUUGCUUCUUUCAAAAGAAUUUGUAUAUUGGAGGCGUAAUUAUUGACAAAAAUGAAUCAAAUUUUGCCAGUGUGUUAUUUUUCCAUGAAAUUUGAGUGUUUUAAUGGUUUCAGAAAAGUUGCAACUGAAAUGACCAACAGCGCCCCCUGGAAACGUUUAAAACCACUGACUCACCAGCUUACUUUAUCAUACAGGCAUGACGUUUGUAAAACUUGUAGAACUUCCCAAGAAUUACAGAAAGUUUCCUCCACCAUGCUCUACGACUAACAAGAAGUCGGCCAUCUUGGAUUGUACUAGUGAUAUUAACUUAAUUUUGUCUAUUUGUUGCUUCUGUAUUUGAUCAAAUUUUUAGAAGUUUUGAUCAAUUAGCUUGAAAAUUGGUGAGUUUUCUCCUAAGACAUGGAGGAUCUAAAGUUAUCAAAAUCCUGACAUUUUUUGUGCUGAUUGAAGAAACGAUGCCUGAUCUCAGGCUUUGACUACCAAAAAAUAAAAGUUGUUAUAACUCCUGCAGAGAUAGUGAGGGGGAUGAAACCUGUUGUUCCUCUGAUCCCUAACAAGACUAAAUGGUCAAAUGAUGACAUCAUCAAAUCUGCCCCAUUAUAACAGGAAGUUUAAUGUUUUACUUUGAAAAGUCCAUAUUUGACUUUCUUUCCAUUGUGAACAUGAAACUGUAACCAGAGACAGAAAACAAGUUGGUUUAACUUGGUGUUCAUUACUGAGAGUUUUCUACAGAUGGAGAGGCUGAGCCGACUGAUGUUAGUCAUUGAUUACCAUAUUGGAAACGUUCUGAUCAGUAAUACUGGUCCAAUAACCCAUAAUGUCACCAGAUGGAUCAGAAUCAGGACUCAUCAUUUAUAAAUUUUUAUUAAGGUUGUUGUUUCCAGCAGAGGAUCAGAGCAUCAGUGUUCAUAAAUUCACCUCCUACCUAACCUGCUGUGCUUAGAUAUUUAAGAUGCUAAGAGCAGGAGACUCUUCCUCUGAUUGUCCAAUCAGCAGCUUCCUCUUCUCUGUGGGCUGCAGGGGCUGAUGGGAGCUUUGGUUCCUCUGCUAGAAACCACGUGGCCCUGGUCUGAUCUCUCAGCUCGUCCUUGUUUGGCCUCAGCUGCAUCAGAGCGCCACUUCUCCCCAGGUUCACCAGAGGAAACUCCACUGCACACAAUGCUUUUCCUCCCAGCUGCUGCUCUGUGCUGGCUGGGUUCAGCGCUGGCUGCCAUGGCAACACCGCUGGUUCAGGACCAUUUAACUCUGACCAGGAGAACCGGGCAGAGCGUCUCCUUCAGCUGUGGAGGAACUGAUCAGUGUGGCUCUAAUCGUGUAGCCUGGUACCAGAAGAAAGAAACAGAAACAUUCAGAGCUAUUCUCUAUAUCUCCAGUGGUAGUAGCCCAACAAAACCUUACAAUCAUCCUCAGCAAGAUGAUUUCUCAGCUGAGAGAGAUCAGAGCAGCAGUUCGUUGAAGAUCAACAAAGUUAAACUGGAUCAUUCAGCCUCCUACUACUGCGGCUGUAGGAAGUCUGGUUCCCACAGUGAGAAAUGAUUCCUUCAGCCUGAACAAAAACCUCCAGAUGAUCAGAUGUCAGUUUGUGACAUAGAGAGCAGUAAACCACAGCCCAGGUUCACUGAUUUCACCUCCAUCUCACACAGAGACUCUCUGAGCUCUGAAGGUUUCUGGUUUCAUUCAUUAUUUUCAGACUUGAUAAAUUUAUGGUUUCUGUCAUUUUGUAAUUAAACAGCUUUAUUAUUC